UCUUUCUUCAUCGCUCUUCCUAGAUGUUUCAAGGAAUCAAUCCCUCUUCCUCCUCCAAUCCCAAUCACUCCAUCUUCUCUCUAGCUUAUGAUCUCCAUCUCCUUCUCUUUCAGAGAGGUUGAUGUCUGGCGUUGGAGUAAUCGUUUCGGAUCCAUGACUACAAAGCCAGUUCACGCAAGUCGAGCUUCGUUCUCUCAAGUUUGCGGCGUUUACGUUAGAGGAUCUUCCACUUGUGUUGGUGAAGUCACUCACCUCUGCGUUCAAGGAGAAAGAAAUCAGAGAGAUCUUACCAUAUUUGGCUUCUGAUUACGCAGCCUACGAUGAUCUCGAUUUCGAAUCGUUUCUCACGCUAAUCUAGCAAGAGCUUCACUGGAUUCUGGAACACAGCAACAAGAUCCUAGCAAGCAAACUCAAUGUUUCACAUACCGAGAACUCGCCACCGCAACUAACAAUUUCAGGCUCGAAUCUAUGAUCGGACAUGGUGGUUUCGGUUCUGUUUUCAAAGGAAAGUUAGUGUUUCCUCCUGGACAUGUAACUCUCAACAUAUAUCAUCUAGAGUUGUGAUUUAACUGUGCUCCUCUUCUUUUACUCUGUUACUGUGCUCACUCACUCUCUCUGUUUAUGUUCACUCACUCACUCUUAGUUAUCACUUGUGUAUCACCAUAACACACAAGUACACACUCAUACUCUCUUGACUCUCACGUUUGUUUUCUUAUUGUAGAGAGAAGAGAGAACACACGGAUGUUUACAUUGUUAACUCUUUUCUUAUUGAAUUGGAUGCACAUAUUUAUAGUAGUUUUAUCUAACUACUACACACACAUAUUUAGACAUUUAACAUGACCACUGAAAUCCAAUAAUUAACUUACAAAAAAAAAAAAAUUUAGGAACCUCAAUGAGGUUCUCCCAUUGGACGAUAAAAAAAUUAAUUAGACUACCAGA